UGUCCCUGUCUACUAUCCAGCG
rnacentral:sRNA from 1 species